AGAGUUUGAUCAUGGCUCAGGAUGAACGCUAGCUACAGGCUUAACACAUGCAAGUCGAGGGGAAACGACAUCGAAAGCUUGCUUUUGAUGGGCGUCGACCGGCGCACGGGUGAGUAACGCGUAUCCAACCUGCCCACCACUUGGGGAUAACCUUGCGAAAGUAAGACUAAUACCCAAUGACGUCUCUAGAAGACAUCUGAAAAGAGAUUAAAGAUUUAUCGGUGAUGGAUGGGGAUGCGUCUGAUUAGCUUGUUGGCGGGGUAACGGCCGCCAAGGCUACGAUCAGUAGGGGUCUGAGAGGAAGGUCCCCCANAUUGGAACUGAGACACGGUCCAAACUCCUACGGGAGGCA
rnacentral:rRNA from 1 species